AUACGGAGGGGGCUAGCGUUGUGCGGAAUUACUGGGCGUAAAGCGCGCGUAGGCGGAUUGAUCAGUCAGGGGUGAAAUCCCGAGGCUUAACCUCGGAACUGCCUUUGAUACUGUCAAUCUUGAGUUCGAGAGAGGUGAGUGGAAUUCCUAGUGUAGAGGUGAAAUUCGUAGAUAUUAGGAAGAACACCAGUGGCGAAGGCGGCUCACUGGCUCGAUACUGACGCUGAGGUGCGAAAGCGUGGGGAGCAAACAGGAUUAGAUACCCUUGUAGUCC
rnacentral:rRNA from 1 species